rnacentral:rRNA from 1 species
GGAAUUCGAUUCGGUGUGACAAGGCCCGGGAACGUAUUCACCGUGGCGUGUUGAUCCACGAUUACUAGCGAUUCCAACUUCAUGGGCUCGAGUUGCAGAGCCCAAUCCGAACUGAGACGGCUUUUUGAGAUUUGCGAAGGGUUGCCCCUUAGCGUCCCAUUGUCACCGCCAUUGUAGCACGUGUGUAGCCCAGCCCGUAAGGGCCAUGAGGACUUGACGUCAUCCCCACCUUCCUCGCGGCUUAUCACCGGCAGUCUCCUUAGAGUGCUCAACUGAAUGGUAGCAACUAAGGACGGGGGUUGCGCUCGUUGCGGGACUUAACCCAACAUCUCACGACACGAGCUGACGACAGCCAUGCAGCACCUGUCUCCGGUCCAGCCGAACUGAAGGACUCCGUCUCUGGAAUCCGCGACCGGGAUGUCAAGGGCUGGUAAGGUUCUUCGCGUUAAUCACUA